rnacentral:rRNA from 1 species
UACGAAGGGGGCUAGCGUCGCUCGGAAUCACUGGGCGUAAAGGGUGCGUAGGCGGGUCUUUAAGUCAGGGGUGAAAUCCUGGAGCUCAACUCCAGAACUGCCUUUGAUACUGAAGAUCUUGAGUUCGGGAGAGGUGAGUGGAACUGCGAGUGUAGAGGUGAAAUUCGUAGAUAUUCGCAAGAACACCAGUGGCGAAGGCGGCUCACUGGCCCGAUACUGACGCUGAGGUGCGAAAGCGUGGGGAGCAAACAGG